GUUCAGCAAAGGGCAGAGUCCGGGAGAGACCAGGCAUGACCAGGUGCACGCACCCCACUGCCCCUCCCAAGGGAGUCGGGUGGACAGCACUUACUUCUUCCAGCACUGAUGUGACCACAUGCUCAGAAAUACUGCCAAGCAAAGAAGCUCACCCAGCCUUGACGUCCAGAGUUUUUAUCGGGGUUCAGGCCACGUGGACUUGGCUGACUACACAAAAGAUUGAUUUCAACCUGCAACCUCUCCAGAGGCUGAGUCCAAGGCCCCCUCAGAAGUCACACUGUCAGCACAGACCAUCAUUGUGGCUCCAGGAAAACACUUUUGGGCAGGAUAUUCCAAAGGUGACUCUCAAAGCGAGUCAAAUCAGGCAAGGUUAAUCCCUGACUGCUCGAUGUUAUAGGAGAAGGCGAUGGCACCCCACUCCAGUACUUUUGCCUAGAAAAUCCCAUGGAUGGAGGAGCCUGGUGGGCUGCCGUCUAUGGGGUCGCACAGAGUCGGACACGACUGAAGCGACAUAGCAGCAGCAGCAGCAGCAGCAGCUCAAUGUUAUAACGAAUUGCCACAAAGGCAGGGGCUUCAAGCGUUGCAAAUGAUCCUGUUUCAGUUCAGUGGGUCAGAGUUCCGAGAUGAGUCUCACCGGGCAAAAAUCAAGGUGUCAGCAGAGGGAAGGCUCCUCCUGGAGGCCCCAGGGGAGAAUCCACGCCUUGCCGCUCCCACCCCCUGGAGAAGCUCGCACUCCUUGGCUCCGGGCUGCAUGGCUCCAAUCUUUUGCUCCCAUCACCACACCUUGUCGGUGAUCACAGAUCCAUCUGCCUCCCUCUGAGAGGAACGUGUGUGAUUACAUUGGCGCACCUGGAUAAUCCAAUAAUCCAGGGUUACGCGCCCCACGUCAAGGGUCUUAAUCUCACCCACAGGGUCCCUUUGGCCUUCAUGAAGUAAUGCUUGAAGAUUCCAAGGAUUAAGAUCUGAACAUUUUAGGAGGCUCUUUGCAUCAACCACCAUUCUCCCCAACACGCCCAGAUCUUCCCUGGGCCACGCCUCUGCAGCCUUCUGAUUUCAGCUUAAACUGUAUCAAUCAAAGGAGUAUUUUUAGGAUCCCUCUGUUGAAAGGGGCUCCGGCACCUCUCCCAUCCACAGCUCUGCCCUUAGUAGCCCCUCCCUCCUCUUGCUUCUUUCCUUCAUGGCAGUAACUGUAACGAUGCAGAGUAUUGACCUAUUUUAUUUUCUCAUACUCUCUGCCUCUGUAUCGUUGGCUUCUGCUAGCCCAGCACCCAGCACCAAGCCUGGCACAUAGUCUUCCCUGAGCCUCCGUGGGCAGACAGUCCUCUUCAUGUAACAUAUGCAGUGAACACCCACGACCCGCCCAGCACAUCUGAAGCCUGCAGUCAACACUGGUUCCGGUCCCAUGGGAGCAGCAUCGGCACCACAUGGGGCCUUCAAGAAUUUCAAGAAACUCCUGGGACAUCAAUAUACAUGUGCGAAGAGGUUCAAGAUGGAGCUAUUACUUCAAAACAAACAGGGACCUCCCUGGUGGUCCAGUGGCUCAGACUCCAUGCUCCCAAUGCAGAAGGCCCAGGCUUGAUCCCUGGUCGGGGAACGAGAUCCCGCAUGUGGCAACUAAAGAUCCCACAUACCGCAACCAAGACCUGGCACAGCUGAAAAUAUAUGUGUAUUUUAAAAAUAAACAAACAGUAAAAACAAACGCACAAAAAUCGAUAACCACCUAAAUGCCGCAUUAGUUUUCUGUAAACGAAUUACCCCCAUAUGGCAGCUUAAAACCAGACUUCUUGUAGCCCCCGCCCACCUAGAGUCUCCAGGUUCUGUGGGUUAGACGUCCCUGCGUUAUUGGGUUGGGUUCUCUGAUCAAGGUAUCAAGGCCAAAAUCAAGCUGUCAGCCUCACCU
ensembl:lncRNA